CUUCCUUGUUGGGACAGAAAGAUUGUCUACGAACAACUCUCGUAUUUAUACAAUUUCUGAAAUAUCAAUGACAAUGUCAGUCAAAGUCAGUUUCUCAGUUCCGUGUUACUAAACUUAACUUUGGAAAUGCUGUUAUAAUAUGUGAUCAGGAGAAUUAUUAAAGCAUGGUGCCUUGUAUAUAUAGUUGCCGCCUAAGCAGUCAAUAUACAGUAUACAUAUAUGCGCUUUGGAGUUGGGGG
rnacentral:lncRNA from 1 species